AGAGUUUGAUCAUGGCUCAGAUUGAACGCUGGCGGCAGGCUUAACACAUGCAAGUCGAGCGGAGAUGAGGUGCUUGCACCUUAUCUUAGCGGCGGACGGGUGAGUAAUGCUUAGGAAUCUGCCUAUUAGUGGGGGACAACAUUCCGAAAGGAAUGCUAAUACCGCAUACGCCCUACGGGGGAAAGCAGGGGAUCUUCGGACCUUGCGCUAAUAGAUGAGCCUAAGUCGGAUUAGCUAGUUGGUGGGGUAAAGGCCUACCAAGGCGACGAUCUGUAGCGGGUCUGAGAGGAUGAUCCGCCACACUGGGACUGAGACACGGCCCAGACUCCUACGGGAGGCAGCAGUGGGGAAUUUUGGACAAUGGGCGGAAGCCUGAUCCAGCCAUGCCGCGUGUGUGAAGAAGGCCUUUUGGUUGUAAAGCACUUUAAGCGAGGAGGAGGCUACUUAGAUUAAUACUCUAGGAUAGUGGACGUUACUCGCAGAAUAAGCACCGGCUAACUCUCUGCCAGCAGCCGCGGUAAUACAGAGGGUGCGAGCAUUAAUCGGAUUUACUGGGCGUAAAGCGUGCGUGGGCGGCUGAUUAAGUCGGAUGUGAGAUCCCUGAGCCUAACUUAGGAAUUGCAUUCGAUACUGGUCAGCUAGAGUAUGGGAGAGGAUGGUAGAAUUCCAGGUGUAGCGGUGAAAUGCGUAGAGAUCUGGAGGAAUACCGAUGGCGAAGGCAGCCAUCUGGCCUAAUACUGACGCUGAGGUACGAAAGCAUGGGGAGCAAACAGGAUAGGUACCCUGGUAGUCCAUGCCGUAAACGAUGUCUACUAGCCGUUGGGGCCUUUGAGGCUUUAGUGGCGCAGCUAACGCGAUAAGUAGACCGCCUGGGGAGUACGGUCGCAAGACUAAAACUCAAAUGAAUUGACGGGGGCCCGCACAAGCGGUGGAGCAUGUGGUUUAAUUCGAUGCAACGCGAAGAACCUUACCUGGCCUUGACAUAGUAAGAACUUUCCAGAGAUGGAUUGGUGCCUUCGGGAACUUACAUACAGGUGCUGCAUGGCUGUCGUCAGCUCGUGUCGUGAGAUGUUGGGUUAAGUCCCGCAACGAGCGCAACCCUUUUCCUUAUUUGCCAGCGAGUAAUGUCGGGAACUUUAAGGAUACUGCCAGUGACAAACUGGAGGAAGGCGGGGACGACGUCAAGUCAUCAUGGCCCUUACGGCCAGGGCUACACACGUGCUACAAUGGUCGGUACAAAGGGUUGCUACCUAGCGAUAGGAUGCUAAUCUCAAAAAGCCGAUCGUAGUCCGGAUUGGAGUCUGCAACUCGACUCCAUGAAGUCGGAAUCGCUAGUAAUCGCGGAUCAGAAUGCCGCGGUGAAUACGUUCCCGGGCCUUGUACACACCGCCCGUCACACCAUGGGAGUUUGUUGCACCAGAAGUAGGUAGUCUAACCGCAAGGAGGACGCUUACCACGGUGUGGCCGAUGACUGGGGUGAAGUCGUAACAAGGUAGCCGUAGGGGAACCUGCGGCUG
rnacentral:rRNA from 1 species